AUGCCAUAAGCAAGUUUGAUGAUUUCUCUACAAGAUGGGGACAUCAAGAUGGGAAGACAUGGAUGAAAUGCACUAAGACACAGGGAAGGAAAUACUCUGAAACACCAGCUAAUGGAUUCUUUCCCUGACCCAUCUUCUCUCUUUUUGCCACUGGAUGAAAGGAUCACCCCGUACAUUAACCAGUCGCUAUGAAUCCCUUGAGCCCCACUGCAUUGAGAGUGGGUGAUAUUAUGAUGACCUGGAUUACUGCCUGUCAUGCUAACUUUCAAACAACAUUACUACAGCUGUAAAAGCGGU